rnacentral:lncRNA from 1 species
AACUUUUUUGUGGUCUAUAAUGGAAUGAUCCACUUCUUUCAAAGAAGGGACCUCUAUUUAUAUAUUUUCAAAAUUAGAUUUUCAUUCGGCAAAUGUUGCUCGCCUAGCGAAUCUGAGCUUUCUUUAAAUGGAGGAAAGUGAUAGCUCAUCCUCAAGGUCACUAAACUAUCUUACAUUGAUGGAAAAAUAGAUGAUCGCCCAACAAAUUUUCUCUUGUAUUUUCCGUCAAAACUCUCUGGAAUCCUUCGCUUUUAGCUUGCUCAUCUUAACUAGCAAAAGUACUUUGGAUCAUAAUCCUGGAUCUUUAUCCUUCUUGGUCAUUAAUCUCAAAAAUCUACAACAUAUGAAAGGAAAUAGUUCAAGGUAGCUUAAUUAGCAUAAAACUAUGUAUUUAUAUGAAAUUGGAGAUUUUCCUAUAUUACUUGCAAAAUAAGUUAUUAAACGCUUUAAUUAAAUAGGUCAAAUAACCAAAAUUUGGGAUAUAUACCAACUCUCUCCAACUUAGAAAUUUCUUUUGUCCUCAAACAAAAAUCCUCAAAAAAAUUUCAAAAAGUAAAUCAACAAUGAUGCAUAUUAAAGUUUGGCUUAAAUGCACUUUUAGUAACCCCCUAACUUUGUCCCUUUUUCAAGUAGUCAAUUUUGACUCGUGCGUGAUUAUAGUUGAACUAUGCAUGAUUCUACUAACUUUACCCCCUUUUACAAGUAGCCAAUCAUUUUGAAUCUUUGCACCAUGCAUGAUUCCACUAAAUUGCACAACUAAGACAAAUGUGCACAACCCUCCUAAGAUCAAAACAUGAAUAUGAGAAUGACUCGGAUUUAAGAAAAUCAUAAAUUACAGCGGGGUGUCUACAAAACAAACUAUGAAACUAGCAAUGCUCAACAACUCUAAAAAGGAAUCAAAGAAUCAAAAGUCAAACACAUCGACCACGAACAGAAACUCAACCGCAACAACUCUAGCACUGCCGUCGGCAGAUCCUGGAGCCAUAACCAUCAAGAACCCAUCCAGAUAUCUAAGAAAACCGAAAUUUUUGAAAUAUCUACCGUUAAAUAGAUCUGUGCAUACGACAUCCAACUUCUACCACUGUGAAGUAUGUGUAAAUGACCCUUGUAUGGACCACCGCCAUGAUAAAAGGCGGAGGUUGUUGAUGCUCACCCAAACAGAGGUUGCUGCGAACAGCCCAAACCAAUGGAGCUUUGGAGGACGUCAGGAGGAUGGAGACACCGCGAACUAGAACAACCUCAACCAAAAUAACCGAUGUCGAAAACGCCGACAAAUCUAGGAUGUGGGUGGUGCGGAAAAAGAAUUGAUUCUUUUUAAAUACAUAUAUUGCUUAUCGAAUAACGUUAGCAAUUCUCGUAGCAAUUGCAUGUGCAAAACGUAGUUGUAUAACUUGUUUUAUCAUCUAUUAAAAAGAAAUUUUAAAUGAAAUAUAUUUAUUAUAAUGAUUUAAUAAACGAU